UACGUAGGGAGCGAGCGUUGUCCGGAAUUACUGGGUGUAAAGGGAGUGCAGGCGGGCUUGCAAGUCAGAUGUGAAAUGUAGGGGCUCAACCCCUGAACUGCAUUUGAAACUGUAGGUCUUGAGUGAAGUAGAGGUAAGCGGAAUUCCCAGUGUAGCGGUGAAAUGCGUAGAUAUUGGGAGGAACAUCAGUGGCGAAGGCGGCUUACUGGGCUUUAACUGACGCUGAGGCUCGAAAGCGUGGGGAGCAAAC
rnacentral:rRNA from 1 species